rnacentral:rRNA from 1 species
UACAGAGGGUGCGAGCGUUGUCCGGAAUCACUGGGCGUAAAGGGCGCGUAGGCGGCCUGAUAAGUAGGGGGUGAAAUCUUGCGGCUCAACCGCAAGGCUGCCUUCUAAACUGUCAGGCUGGAGCACGGUAGAGGCAGAUGGAAUUCCCGGUGUAGCGGUGGAAUGCGUAGAUAUCGGGAGGAACACCAGUGGCGAAGGCGACUACCUGGCCUGUUCUUGACGCUGAGGCGCGAAAGCUAGGGGAGCAAACGGG